CAAGAUUUAGUAGGGUACCUCCCAUGACUGUGUAAAUAGUUGCCAUUUGUAGUAUAGUUGCUUUCCUAGCUGCUCUUUCUGACUCAAGCACCCGAACUCGAAGUUUUAAAUCUCCCGAUUCAAGUUGUUUCACAAACUCUUCUAUCUGCUGAACUCUGUAUGGCAUCGACAUGGUAGAACUUCUGGCAUCACUCGCUUGUUUCCUUAUUUCUUCCA
rnacentral:misc_RNA from 1 species